rnacentral:rRNA from 1 species
CCUACGGGAGGCAGCAGUGGGGAAUUUUGGACAAUGGGCGAAAGCCUGAUCCAGCAAUGCCGCGUGAGUGAAGAAGGCCUUCGGGUUGUAAAGCUCUUUUGUCAGGGAAGAAACGGUGAGGGCUAAUAUCCCUUGCUAAUGACGGUACCUGAAGAAUAAGCACCGGCUAACUACGUGCCAGCAGCCGCGGUAAUACGUAGGGUGCAAGCGUUAAUCGGAAUUACUGGGCGUAAAGCGUGCGCAGGCGGUUUUGUAAGUCUGUCGUGAAAUCCCCGGGCUCAACCUGGGAAUUGCGAUGGAGACUGCAAGGCUAGAAUCUGGCAGAGGGGGGUAGAAUUCCACGUGUAGCAGUGAAAUGCGUAGAGAUGUGGAGGAACACCGGAUGGCGAAGGCAGCCCCCUGGGUCAAGAUUGACGCUCAUGCACGAAAGCGUGGGGAGCAAACAGGAUUAGAUACCCUGGUAGUCCACGCCCUAAACGAUGUCUACUAGUUGUCGGGUUUUAAUUAACUUGGUAACGCAGCUAACGCGUGAAGUAGACCGCCUGGGGAGUCGGUCGCAAGNUUAAAACCUGAAGAUGACGNNGAGAGNGCGAGACGACGACGAGGGAGGAG